rnacentral:rRNA from 1 species
GACGAACGCUGGCGGCGUGCUUAACACAUGCAAGUCGAACGAUGAAGCCGGAGCUUGCUCUGGUGAAUUAGUGGCGAACGGGUGAGUAACACGUGAGUAACCUGCCCUUGACUCUGGGAUAACUGCGGGAAACUGUAGCUAAUACCGGAUACGACCCUCGGAGGCAUCUCCUGGGGGUGGCAAGAAUUUCUGUCAAGGAUGGACUCGCGGCCUAUCAGCGAGUUGGUGAGGUAACGGCUCACCAAGGCGACGACGGGUAGCCGGCCUGAGAGGGUGACCGGCCAAACUGGGACUGAGACACGGCCCAGACUCCUACGGGAGGCAGCAGUGGGGAAUAUUGCACAAUGGGCGCAAGCCUGAUGCAGCAACGCCGCGUGAGGGAUGACGGCCUUCGGGUUGUAAACCUCUUUUAGCAGGGAAGAAGCGAAAGUGACGGUACCUGCAGAAAAAGCACCGGCUAACUACGUGCCAGCAGCCGCCGUAA